rnacentral:snRNA from 1 species
CACCUUGCGCAGUGGCAAUAUCGUAACCUGUGAAGGUCUCCUGAGGUGCGAUUAUUGCUAGUUAAAAACUUUUAUCAG